rnacentral:rRNA from 1 species
CUUGCUCUCUGGGUGACGAGCGGCGGACGGGUGAGUAAUGUCUGGGAAACUGCCUGAUGGAGGGGGAUAACUACUGGAAACGGUAGCUAAUACCGCAUAACGUCUUCGGACCAAAGUGGGGGACCUUCGGGCCUCACGCCAUCAGAUGUGCCCAGAUGGGAUUAGCUAGUAGGUGGGGUAAUGGCUCACCUAGGCGACGAUCCCUAGCUGGUCUGAGAGGAUGACCAGCCACACUGGAACUGAGACACGGUCCAGACUCCUACGGGAGGCAGCAGUGGGGAAUAUUGCACAAUGGGCGCAAGCCUGAUGCAGCCAUGCCGCGUGUGUGAAGAAGGCCUUCGGGUUGUAAAGCACUUUCAGCGAGGAGGAAGGGUGGUGUGUUAAUAGCGCAUCACAUUGACGUUACUCGCAGAAGAAGCACCGGCUAACUCCGUGCCAGCAGCCGCGGUAAUACGGAGGGUGCAAGCGUUAAUCGGAAUUACCGGGCGUAAAGCGCACGCAGCGGUUUGUUAAGUCAGAUGUGAAAUCCCCGCGCUUAACGUGGGAACUGCAAUUUGAAACUGGCAAGCUAGAGUCUUGUAGAGGGGGGGUAGAAUUC